AAAAAAAAGAGAGGGAC
rnacentral:sRNA from 1 species